GGGAUAUUCCAGACCAUGUGACAUCAUGCUCAGCCUAUAAAGAUGGCCAGGGCAUCGCUGCUGUUUCUGUGGUGCUGUACUGGACAGGCUGGAACUCCAGUGUGAACUCGAGUUGAAGGGACUGCGACCUGCGGAUGAGUUCAUGUGGGAGCAGGACACCCUGAAGUGUCUGUGGCCAUGGAUAAGCCCAUGCCAGAGCAGGUACAUCUCGAAGCGUUUAUGGCCGCAGUUAUGUCUGUGCCGCAGCAGGUGUACCUCUGAAGGGACUGGCCCAAGGAUAAGUCCACGCUGCAGCAGGUAUUCCUUGAAGCAUCAGUGGCUGUGCUGGUCAUGCUGGAGUACCUCAAAGCGUGUGGCCAUGGAUAAGCCCACGACAGAGCAGGUACGCCCCUGGAGGGACUGCAGUCUUGGGUAAGGCCAUGUUGGAGCAGGUUUACUUCUGAAGGGACUGUGGCUGUGGGUAAGACCAUGCUGGAGGAGGUAUAUCUCCAAAGGCAUUGUGGCCCAUGGAUAAGGCCAUGCUGGAACAGGUGCGCCUCAAGGCAACUGUGGCUGUGGAUAAGUCUCUGCUGAAGCAGGUAUACCCCUGAAGAGACUCCAGUCUGUGGAUAAGUCCAAGCCAGAACAUGGGCAAGGUGAGGAGUUCAUUGCAAUGUUAAACCCUGUGGUCUGGUCCAAAGGGACCAGGGGUGGAGACUGUAAUGGAAAUAACUUUAAAUGGUUGUAACCCAUGAUUUGAGUUGCAUGUUAUAGGAAUUAAUAUAGCAGGAACCACCUGAACCAAUGGAGGCCAAGCCUUACAAGCAGCAGCGACCUGACCUGAGCUGGCUUUGGUGCCCAGUAACUCCACGCAACACACCACCUCUGCUGUCCUGAGUGACCACCGUAACAGGUGAAGCCCAAAGUCAUGGACUAAAUGAACUCAAUGGACAUUUUGUGGACGUUUUAUGGACAUUUUAGAGGGGCGAUCCAUAGACUAAGAGAAUAUCUGUAUGUUGUAUCAAAGGAUGGGAAGGGAGGUGGUGGUUAAUGAGGAUGUAUUGGAUAGCGUGGGACCUGAGCAUGAUGUAAAUGGUGUGGAAUAAGGGGUGGAGAAUGUGCUGGUUUUGGCUGGGAUAGAGUUAAUUUUCUUCACAGUAGUUGGUAUGGGGCUACGUUUUGGAUUUGUCAGAAAACAGUGUUGAUGAUACAGGGAUGUGUUAGUUAUUGCUGAGCAGUGCUCGCACAGUGCCAAGGGCUGUUCUGCUCAUCGCCCUACCCUGCCAGCAAGCAGCUGGGGAUGCACAAGGAGUUGGGAGGGGGACACAGUUGGGACAGCUGACCCCAACUGACCAAAGGGAUAUUCCAGACCAUAUGAUGUCAUGCUCAGCAAUAAAACUCGGGUUGGAGGUUGGUUUUAUGAAGAUGGCUAUUGCUACUUUUUAAUUAUUGCCUGUCAUGUAACCCAUUGCUUUAAAAAUUUUCUAUGUCUACUUUUA